rnacentral:rRNA from 1 species
UAUACAUGACUCUGCGCAUAUCAAUAAGCGGAGGAAAAGAAAACUAACAAGGAUUCCCCUUAGUAACGGCGAGUGAAGCGGGAAGAGCUCAAAUUUGAAAUCUUAAAGGGUUUUCCCUUUACGAAUUGUAGUUUAAAGAAGUGUUUUUCUGUUGAGGUUUUUGGUAAAAGUUCUUUGGAAUAGGGACAUCAUAGAGGGUGAGAAUCCCGUAUUUGGACCUUUACUUUCAACUUUCGUGAUACACUUUCAAAGAGUCGGAUUGUUUGGGGAAUGCAGUCCCAAAAUGGGUGGUAAAUUUUCAUCUAAAGCUAAAUAUUGGCGAGAGGACCGAUAGCGAAACAAGUACCGUGAGGGAAAGAUGAAAAAGAACUUUGAAAAGAGAGUUAAAACAGUACGUGAAAUUGUCAAAAGGGAAGCGUUUUGACACCAGUGUUGUUUUUUCUGAAAAAUCAAUUAAAGAAACUGUUUUAUGCUAAGCUUGUUUAGACUUUAUCAGCUAAUCUGUUUUAGUUUUUGAGCUUUUUCUUUAAUGCACUUUUUCAGUUAACAAGUCAACAUCAAUUUCUUUUGCUGUAAAAAAAGCUUGAGGAAGGUGGCUUGAGAUUCGUCCUUAAGUGUUUAUAGCCUCUUGCCUAUGCAGUCGGAGAGAUUGAGGUCUGCAGCGUAGAUCCUUCGGGGCUAAAUGCAUUUGUGCUAAGUUAUAGCAUUUUAUAGACAACUUGUUGACUAUGAUUUGUCUUGUAGCUUACUCGCUUAUGUUAUUUUACCUACGCUUAGGAUGUUGACAGCAGUAUAGACUGU